CCUGCUGCUGCUUCUGAUCUUUGCUUCUAGAGAUCGUAGUGGUUUUGGUCUUCUGAGCUGAAUCGGAUGGCCGUGGACACUGUCGAGACUGCCGUCGCUUUGGUUCCGCCGCAGCCGCCGCCGAGAUCGGAGAUGAGCGAGGACGAGCUCCCGCCCGUCGAGGGGUGGGCGAAGCGGAAGCGCUCGAAGCGCCACCACCGUUUCUUCGACCACCCGCCGACUGAGGAGGAGUACCUGGCCCUCUGCCUCAUGAUGCUCGCCCGCGGCGGCUCCGGCCACCACCUCCCGUCCGUCUCCACCGCCUCUGCCGCGGCGACUCCUACGCCCACCGCGAAGGUCGGGUUCAAGUGCUCCGUCUGCGGCAAGGCCUUCGGUUCCUACCAAGCGCUAGGAGGGCACAAGGCCAGCCACCGCAAGCUCAACGCCAGCAGCGGCGGGGAGGAGCCCUCCGCCGCCGCGUCCCCGGCCGCUUCCGCUUCCGGCUCCUCCACCGCCGCAGCAGGCGCCACCACCACCGGCGGCAAAGUGCACCAGUGCUCCGUGUGCUUCAAGACGUUCCCGACGGGGCAGGCGCUGGGCGGGCACAAGAGGAGACACUACGAUGGGAGC
rnacentral:lncRNA from 1 species